GAUGAACGCUGGCGGCGUGCCUAAUACAUGCAAGUCGAACGAAGAGGGGAGGACCUUGCCUCCCGGACGAUAGCGGCACAGGUGAGUAACACGUGUGGAAACCGCCCCUAUACGACUGAGAACAAUUGGAAAAACCAGCUAUAAUACCAUGAAAAAUGUUGAUGCACGUGGAUCGAUAGAAAAAGACGACUUUGCCACCACCUAUAGAUGCAGCGGCGUAUCAUUAACUAGGUGAUAAGAUAACGGCUUACCAAGGCAACGAUGCGUAGCCGACCUGAGAGGGUGUUCGGCCACACUGGAACUGAGACACGGUCCAGACUCCUACGGGAGGCAGCAGUAGGGAAUCUUCCGCAAUGGGCGAAAGCCUGACGGAGCACCGCCGCGUGAGUGAUGAAGGUCUUCGGAUCGUAAAACUCUGUUAUUAGGGAGGAACAAAUGUGUAAGUAACUAUGCACGUCUUGACGGUACCUAAUCAGAAAGCCACGGCUAACUACGUG
rnacentral:rRNA from 1 species